AGAUCCGCCUACCUCAGCUGGCCCCGCCCCUCGCCGCCGAACUCUGCUUCCUCGGCUGGCCCGCUUCUCUUCACUGAGCAGGGUCCCCACUCCGGCGACGGCUGCGUAAGUUCAGUCCGCAGUACCAGAGCACUUCAAGCCUGUUCUUUAGCGUCGCAUGACCCCGCCCACUCUUGCUCCCCCAGCUUCCGCGCUGUUGCCCAGCCUGUCAUCUGCUCUGAAUUCUAGAGCGUCUACUGGAAUUUGCAGUCUGCCUACUUGUGCCAGACUACCUGGUACACGAGGUGACUGGCACGCCGGGACAUUCCCUAGCCCUCGUGGUGCCCCAGCGACACGGUCUUGGGAACAUUUAAGUAUAUUGCCCAGCUCCUCAUACAGAUUCUUAAAAAAUAAAAAAACAAAAAGAAAAAGAAAAUUCAUCUUCAAGACGCUGUACACAAUUCAUGGAUUCACCUGGAUCCUCAGCCACUGAGGACAGCACUGAGGCGAGGCCACCUUGGCUGCCAAGAUUCAGGGUUUUGACAUUUCUUCACAAAGGCUUGCCCGGAGUCAUCGUGUUUUCUGACAAUAUGGAAGAAUUCAAGGAUGGUGUAAUUUCCUCUUUGUAAGCACGUUAUGUCCAUGCUACAGAAGCCUUAGAAUCCAGUCAUGUUCAAAUAUACCACUGUGACAAAAAAGUGAAGGUCAUGUGUCUUCCAGAUUAACAAUCGCUAGAGUAUACACACCUGCAAUCAGAUGCAUCAACCAAGCUUUCCACUAAAUCUGCCCUUUGAACUCAGGAGCUAUUGAGUCACAUGAUAGCAUCAUCAGAAGUCAUUACAGUAUUCCUUUCCACAGUGAAACUGCAUCAGCUCUGAGCUCACAGCUCAGGAAUCCCAGCCUGCAUACUCAUCAGGGGCAUCGCCUAGAAAAUCCAUUGUAGGCUAGUGGAGGGUCUCACGUCAGUGAAGCAGUCUGUGCACUUCCUACUGCCCGGCGAGGAUGAAUAGCCUCCUGUGCUGCCAUCGGUUCAGCCGGCAGCCCUGAGUUUGCACUGGGUAAGAGCACUGCAGUGGAAUCUUCGGCAAAUCCCUCAAAGGAGCUUACUCUGCAAACUUAUCUCUGUGAGCAACUCUUCGCCCACGCUUGAAGCUCCUUUUAGUCUUUGCCUUCAAAAUAAUCCUUAUAUGAAAAAAGAUGGCAGUAUUGGCACUGAACCAACCAUACCAGAGUCCAAAGUGAUUGACACCUGCAAUUUCCCUGAGGAAGUGAAAUACCUGAAAUAAUUCAGACUAAUUUCUUCAUGAAGAAUUUAAGUUGUUUUCCAUUUUGAAGUCAACACUUUGCUUAAUGCAUUUCUAAAUAAAUAAGCUGAUAAUAAUUUCCAUUCUGUGUAGUAUACAUAAAGUUUCUGUACUAUUUAAAAUUAUAAUUUGAUCAUCCACAGGAUUUUUUUAAGUGUUCCUUUUGGAUCUUUUUGAGCUCAGGAACCUAUCAACCUGGUAGCCUUCCUAAUGCCAAUUUAAGAAGAAAAAAAAAAAAA